rnacentral:rRNA from 1 species
CAUAAUCUCUGAGGAGAAAAGCAGGGGAUCGCAAGACCUUGCGCUUUUGGAGCGGCCGAUGCCUGAUUAGCUUGUUGGUAAGGUAAAAGCCUACCAAAGCUUCGAUCAGUAGCUGGUCUGAGAGGACGGCCAGCCACACUGGGACUGAGACACGGCCCAGACUCCUACGGGAGGCAGCAGUGGGGAAUUUUGGACAAUGGGNGCAACCCUGAUCCAGCCAUGCCGCGUGAGUGAAGAAGGCCUUCGGGUUGUAAAGCUCUUUCAGCCGGAACGAAAAGGUUACGGUUAAUACCCGUGACUAAU